rnacentral:tRNA from 1 species
GGUUUGUAGCUCAGUUUUAGAGUGCUUGCCUAGCAUGUGUGAGGCACUGGGUUCGAUUCUCAGCACCA